rnacentral:lncRNA from 1 species
ACAGCUACCAAAAAAGAAGAGAGAGAAAAAAAAAAGCGGAUUUUGUUUUUUUCUGUUUUCCUAGGAAACCUUCAAAGGUGAGGAAAUAAAAGCUCAGAGAGGUUGAGCGUGUUUCUAAAGUGACCCAAGUUCAGAGCAUUUGAAUCACUUGGCCGAGUGGCUGGCCAAGCAGAAACACUGGACAGGACAGACCGGGCGGCAAGAAUGAGAAGCACCGUUUGGAGUCACGUCCGAGUCCGCACGGUGUCUGGGAGAGGGCGAGCUCCCGGGGCCAGUCGACGGAUCUGGAAGGUCCCCCUCUUGGCUGAACUCAGUCAGAAGCCAGAGUGCACAGGAUGUUGAUAUUACCCCACAAGUCGGCCUCCAAGAUGGAGAGCAGGGGGGGUCUGAUGGGAAAAUGGAAGAUACUACAGAGUCGCCACGUCUGAGGAUGUGCCUAGGAGAAGAGAGAUUCUGGUAAGCGAUAGAGUGAGGUUGGGGUGAUCCGGGGCUAAUCUUUGGAGUUUGUCCUACGUGCCGAGCAAAAGUUCAGUGUUUGCUUUGCCAAACGCAAAAGGUCGGGGGUGGACAGAAACCUGGUCUCUUUUAUUCCAACUGAGGUCUGUCCUUUAAUUUAUAAAAAUAAAUGCACUCACGUAGUGGUGGAACUCGUACGU